rnacentral:misc_RNA from 1 species
AUUUAUCCGAGGCGAUCGUUGAUUCCACAGGAUGAUCGGAAUCACGAAGAUCUGCGGUGGAAGAUCUAUCCUCGGCAACGUCGUUGCUGAUCGACUGGCUAUCGGAUGUCACUGAUGGAUCCUCGGCGAUCGCGAGAAACGAACAAAACGCGCACAAAUAAUUAGCGACAAGAAACGCCCUGUAAGUGAUCUUCAUCUUCACGCUGGAGGCUGUAAAUCUAGGAACGAUCGCUUGAUCACGAGCACUACACAAACUGUAUGAUGUCGAUGACGACAACUGCGCGGCUAUCUUUUCAUAAAUGUAUACACUCUGGUUCGUGCGCUCGGACAUCUGUGAUGUGUAUUCCACGUGUGUAGGCGACCAUUCCCAUUCUGAUUAUAUUCAUAUGUAUACGGGGUAUUCCUUGUCAGUCGCAGCCACUUUGUUCUGUUGAUCUCGGAAAUUUUUUUUUUUUUCACUUCCUCAGUUUUGUAGUACUACUCGAAAAACAUUCCUGUGAAUUACACCAUAUCUUUAAAAUCAACUAUUUCAAAGAUAUAAGGUAUUUCUAGUAUGUUUUCUGCUGUCGACCAAAUAAAACGCAUGCAUUUAAUCAAGACUGGCUUACAUUAAG